rnacentral:rRNA from 1 species
GAUGAACGCUGGCGGCGUGCCUAAUACAUGCAAGUCGAGCGAAUGGAUUGAGAGCUUGCUCUCAAGAAGUUAGCGGCGGACGGGUGAGUAACACGUGGGUAACCUGCCCAUAAGACUGGGAUAACUCCGGGAAACCGGGGCUAAUACCGGAUAACAUUUUGAACCGCAUGGUUCGAAAUUGAAAGGCGGCUUCGGCUGUCACUUAUGGAUGGACCCGCGUCGCAUUAGCUAGUUGGUGAGGUAACGGCUCACCAAGGCAACGAUGCGUAGCCGACCUGAGAGGGUGAUCGGCCACACUGGGACUGAGACACGGCCCAGACUCCUACGGGAGGCAGCAGUAGGGAAUCUUCCGCAAUGGACGAAAGUCUGACGGAGCAACGCCGCGUGAGUGAUGAAGGCUUUCGGGUCGUAAAACUCUGUUGUUAGGGAAGAACAGGUGCUAGUUGAAUAAGCUGGCACCUUGACGGUACCUAACCAGAAAGCCACGGCUAACUACGUGCCAGCAGCCGCAGUAA